rnacentral:rRNA from 1 species
ACGAGUUUUUGACCUUGGCCGGAAGGUCUAGGUAAUCUUUUGAGUAUGCAUCGUGAUGGGGAUAGAUUAUUGCAAUUAUUAAUCUUCAACGAGGAAUGCCUAGUAGGCGCAAGUCAGCAGCUUGUGCCGAUUACGUCCCUGCCCUUUGUACACACCGCCCGUCGCUGCAACCGAUCGAAGGGUCCUGUGAACUCGAUGGACAGCCCAUCCCCUUCUUGGGGUUGGGCUGGAAGUUGCGUAAAUAGAGCCCUUUAAAGGAUGCAAAAGUCGUAACACGGUUUCCGUAGGUGAACCUGCGGAAGGAUCAUUCACACAUUUUUCUUUCAGGACAUGAAAAGUAGUAAUGUGCCUGCUUUGGCGCGAGCCUUUUCGUGUAUCUGUAAGAGUUCUAGGUAACGUUAUUUAACCUUUAUCUAACCUUUGAACAGGGAAUUUUUAUUCCCGCCCAAUCUCUCUACAACGACUUUUCUACUGGUAAAUAAUGUUUGGAGCUUAUUUCUGCGAGUAAUAUAUAUGUGCGCAAAGUUUU